UACGUAGGGUGCGAGCGUUGUCCGGAAUUAUUGGGCGUAAAGAGCUUGUAGGCGGUCUGUCGCGUCUGCUGUGAAAAUCCGGGGCUCAACCCCGGACUUGCAGUGGGUACGGGCAGACUAGAGUGUGGUAGGGGAGACUGGAAUUCCUGGUGUAGCGGUGAAAUGCGCAGAUAUCAGGAGGAACACCGAUGGCGAAGGCAGGUCUCCGGGCCACUACUGACGCUGAGAAGCGAAAGCAUGGGGAGCGAACAGG
rnacentral:rRNA from 1 species